rnacentral:rRNA from 1 species
CACGGGGGGAGCAAGCGUUGUUCGGAAUCACUGGGCGUAAAGGGCGUGUAGGCGGUCAAGUAAGUGGGAUGUGAAAUCCCUCGGCUCACCCGAGGACCUGCAUCCCAAACUGCUUGGCUUGAGUAUGGGAGAGGAUGAGGGAAUUCCUGGUGUAGCGGUGAAAUGCGUAGAGAUCCCCAAGAACACCAGUUGCGAAGGCGGCUGACUGGACACAUAUUGACGCUGAGGCUCGAAAGCAUGGGGAGCAAACAGG